CAACCCUCGGACACCUUGCCCUUCUGUCCCUCCCCCAAUUUACCUCAUCUUCAUUCUCCACUUUAGGGUUGCUGGCUGUUCGUUUCAGGUUGCUGCUGAGACUUAUGCUGACUGUAGCAUCUGACUUGGAGCGCUGGUACAAACUCCAGGAACUGGAAGGGCUGUAAAAGACAAAAAGAAAUCAGGACUCAUGGGUCUCUAACUUCUGAAAAACCAGGGACACACAGGAGUUGAAACUUGGCUCUCUCUCGGGAUGGACUAGAAGUAGUCAGAGAACACUGCUGGUGAAAGCCACGGAUCCUCCAGGAGCCUUCAGAGUGUCACCAAACCAGAUCAGAAGAGUGAGCGAAAAGCAGAAGAAAAGGAUCUCAGAGUGACCAGAUCAGGAGAAAAGUCUACAACACUGUGUCAGAUGAUUCUGGCUUUAGAAUCUGGAUAUAGCCAUCAGUAGACUCAGAGACCUCUUUCCAAAUAAAGAGAGCAUCCAAUGCACCACUUUAGAAGAAGGGAGAGGCUUCUGUAGAACCAGAAAGAACCAUCCUCCGGAGGACUGGAGACUGAGAAGGGGGAACGCGAAGCCAAAGACAACCAACUCCAGGUAUCAUCAGGCACCCCAGAGCAGGGCUGAGCACCGAGGUCAAAGUAGAUGGGAUCCUGGG